UACGUAGGAGGCAAGCGUUGUCCGGAAUUACUGGGCGUAAAGCGUGCGCAGGCGGUUGUGCAAGACCGAUGUGAAAUCCCCGGGCUUAACCUGGGAAUGGCAUUGGUGACUGCACGGCUAGAGUGUGUCAGAGGGGGGUAGAAUUCCACGUGUAGCAGUGAAAUGCGUAGAGAUGUGGAGGAAUACCGAUGGCGAAGGCAGCCCCCUGGGAUAACGACUGACGCUCAUGCACGAAAGCGUGGGGAGCAAACAGG
rnacentral:rRNA from 1 species